rnacentral:rRNA from 1 species
GACGAACGCUGGCGGCGUGCUUAACACAUGCAAGUCGAGCGGUAAGGCCCUUUCGGGGGUACACGAGCGGCGAACGGGUGAGUAACACGUGGGUGACCUGCCCUCAGCUCUGGGAUAAGCCCGGGAAACUGGGUCUAAUACUGGAUAUGACUCCAUGACGCAUGGUUGUGGGGUGGAAAGCCUUGUGCGGCUGGGGAUGGGCCCGCGGCCUAUCAGCUUGUUGGUGGGGUGAUGGCCUACCAAGGCGACGACGGGUAGCCGGCCUGAGAGGGCGACCGGCCACACUGGGACUGAGACACGGCCCAGACUCCUACGGGAGGCAGCAGUGGGGAAUCUUGCGCAAUGGGCGAAAGCCUGACGCAGCGACGCCGCGUGAGGGAU